GUUUGAUCCUGGCUCAGAAUCAACGCUGGCGGCGCGCUUAACACAUGCAAGUCGCACGAGAAAGGGAGCAAUCCUAAGUAAAGUGGCGCACGGGUGAGUAACACGUGGAUCAUCUACCUUUUAGUGGGGAAUACCUCUGGGAAACCGGAGACAAUACCGCAUAAGCCCGCAAGGGGAAAGCAGCAAUGCGCUGAAAGAGGAGUCCGCGGCCGAUUAGCUAGUUGGCGGGGUAAUGGCCCACCAAGGCGAAGAUCGGUAGCCGGCCUGAGAGGGCACACGGCCACACUGGCACUGAAACACGGGCCAGACUCCUACGGGAGGCAGCAGUGGGGAAUCUUGCACAAUGGACGAAAGUCUGAUGCAGCGACGCCGCGUGAGCGAUGAAGCCCUUCGGGGUGUAAA
rnacentral:rRNA from 1 species